rnacentral:rRNA from 1 species
UACGAAGGGGGCUAGCGUUGCUCGGAAUCACUGGGCGUAAAGCGCACGUAGGCGGCUCUUUAAGUCAGGGUGAAAUCCUGGAGCUCAACUCCAGAACUGCCCUUGAUACUGAGGAGCUUGAGUCCGGGAGAGGUGAGUGGAACUGCGAGUGUAGAGGUGAAAUUCGUAGAUAUUCGCAAGAACACCAGUGGCGAAGGCGGCUCACUGGCCCGGUACGUGACGCUGAGUGCGAAAGCGUGGGAGCAAGCA